rnacentral:rRNA from 1 species
GACGAACGCUGGCGGCGUGCCUAAUACAUGCAAGUCGAACGAGUGGCGGACGGGUGAGUAACACGUGGGAACCUACCCAUCAGAGGGGGAUAACUUCUGGAAACGGUAGCUAAUACCGCAUACCAUCAGAUGUGCCCAGCGGGGAUUAGCUAGUGGGUGGGGUAACGGCUCACCUAGGCGACGAUCCCUAGCUGGUCGGAGAGGAGGACCGGCCACACGGGAACGGAGACACGGCCCAGACGCCUACGGGGGGCAGCAGUGGGGAAUAUUGCAAAAGGGGCGCAAGCCUGAUGCGGCCAUGCGGCGUGUGUGAAGAAGGCCUUCGGGUUGUAAAGCACUUUCAGCGGGGAGGCGUUACCCGCAGAAGAAGCACCGGCUAACUCCGUGCCAGCAGCCGCGGUAAUAC